ensembl:lncRNA
CGCGUGUAUGUGUGAAUGCGCACACGUCUACGUGUGAGAGCGCGGGUCAAUAAGUUAGCGAUCAGGAAUGAGAGAGAACAGGAGCUACCGUAAAGGCUAAUGUAGAAACGCAAGAAAAUGUAUGCGGCGUAUAAUGCUGGGCAUACACUGUGCGAUUUUGGCCCAUUUUGAGCCCAUUUUUCAGUCAGUCAGACCGUUUUGGUGAUCGGCCCGAGUUUCGCCUUCAUCGUGUGUCGUGCAACGUGUAGUAUACAUCGGGUAACGAGAAGCGAUUAACAAACCAGCUCCCGAUCAUCAAUCGUUUGGUCGUAAGAAAAUCAAACCUGUUUGAAAUGAAGUCGGCCGUCAUGAGGGUGUCAACGCAGCCUCCCACACUGAAAUGAAAGUGAAAAGAUGGAGCAGCACGGCAGUGCAGCGUGUGAUCUGGACACAAGCGAUGGAGGCACAACAUGUAGAACUUUGGCAAGCUCAUCUGAGCCUUUUCGAUGUGGCCUCACAAAAUUAUCACGACACAACAACCGUGAAAAUAGUUGGAUUGUCACUGCUGCUCAAUCACAGCUGCCUGGUCAAUGUUUUUCAUUAGCAAUUUAGCAAAGUUGAUGGUGGUGGUGUGCGUGUCAGUUAAAGACGGAGAAGGAGAGCGAGAGACAGAUUUUGUGUUAUAACCUUCAUGUUAGGGAUGCACAGUGUGAGCACUCAGGUCGCAGACCCUGCAUCGUGACCUACGAACUUCUAACCCCUGCGAGUCAAUCGUACAGUUUGAGCAGGAGCUGAAAAACGCGACUGAAAAAAUCGCACAGUGUAUGCCCAGCUUAAGAGGCGGCUGACUUGACCACGGUGUAAAAACUGCCGUCCUUACCGGAAGUCACUGUCUGAGUAAACACCAUAACAGCCGGGAGUUUCUGUUAUAGUAAGUGAAAAGUUAAGUUUCAUAUUCAUUUUCCGGGACAUCAACUGCUGUCUAUGGCGGCAAAAGAGACCAUACUAUCAGGACCAGUGUCAUAAACUAAACCUGAACUGAAUCUGCGUAGUCGUGGGCAAAUAUUUUUCUUCCCUUGUGCUGACCAGAGUUUGUUUAGGAAGGAGAUAUCUAAUUUUGAAAAAUAAAAAAUGGAGAGAAAAAGUCUGCUUCCAGGAUUUCCACUGGAAAAUUAUGAGAAAGACAAAAAGGAAGAAAAAAGAAUUAGCCUGAAGAAAAGAAAGAGAGUCACGGAUGAUGAAGAUGAGAACAACUUGUGGCGUGUAAAAUGUGGAACCAAAAGGGGCAUCCUAGAUGUAGAGAAGUUGAAAAAAGGUGAGGCAUGUAUUGAGUAUAAAGGCUGCUUGUACAGUCCACCUGAGUUUGAGAAGCUUGCAGGAAAAGAGCCAUGUAGAAAAUGGAAGUCAACUAUUUUCUACAAUGAACUACCUCUGCAGUUUUGGUUUGAGGAAGGCUAUCUAACCACUACAGGAUAUAGACCAAAGAAAAAAAAACGAAAAUCAUGCGACUCAACAGAAGAAAGUGAGGAAGAUCAUGUUGACGAUGAAGAUGAGGAUGAAGAACGGGAAGAUGAGCAUAUGGAUGAAGAGGAUGUUGGUGGUGAUGAGUCUAGCAGUGAGGAUGAUGAGGAUGAAGAAAGUGAUAAUGAUGAAGACGAGACUGCGCCUGCUGUUGCCUCUAACCAUACUGACAGCAGUGAUAUCAAAGAGAGAGUAACAGCUACAAUUCCAACACCUGGAAAACAUGCAUUACAGAUGAAAGAAGUAAAGGGUAUCAUUAACAUCCUUCCUGAGAAGACUAGACAUCAUCCUGACAUGCCAAGAUCUGAAGUCACUGAAAAUCCCAGAGAUGUGGCAAAAAACACAGCAAUCAAACAGCAAAAUGUUAACAAAGAACCUGAAAAGAAACGGAAGAAGACAACAAGCAGCACAAUUUCGACACCUGUGAAACCUGCACUAAAGAUCAAAGAAGAAAAGGGUGUCGUUAAUAGCCUUCCUGAGAGAGCAAGAGAUCAUCCUGACAUGACAAGAUCUGAGGUCACUGAAAAUCCCAGAGAUGUGGCAAAAAACACACCAAUCAAACAGCAAAAUGUUAAGAAACAACCUGAAGAGGAACUGCAAGAACGCAAGGAAGAUCAUGUUGAACAUGAAGAUGAGGAUGAAGAACAGGAAGAUGAGCAUAUAGAUGAAGAUGAUGUUGGUGAAGAUGAGCCUAGAGCUGAGAGAGAUGAGGAUGAAGAAGGUGAUAAUGAUGAAGACAAGAGUGUGCCUUCUGUUGCCUCUAACCAUACUGACAGCAGUGAUAUCAAAGAGAGAGUAACAGCUACAAUUCCAACACCUGGACAACAUGCAUUAGAGAUGAAAGAAGUAAAGGGUAUCAUUAACAUCCUUCCUGAGAAGACUAGACAUCAUCCUGACAUGCCAAGAUCUGAAGUCAGUGGAAAUAACAAAGAUGUGGCAAAAAACACAGCAAUCAAACAGCAAAAUGUUAAACAACCUGAAAAGAAACGGAAGAAGACAACAAGCAGCACAAUUUCAACACCUGUGAAACCUGCACUAAAGAUCAAAGAAGUAAAGGGUGUCGUUAAUAGCCUUCCUGAGAAAGCUGGAGAUCAUCCUGACAUGACAAGAUCUGAGGUCACUGAAAAUCCCAGAGAUGUGGCAAAAAACACAGCAAUCAAACAGCAAAAUGUUAAGAAACAACCUGAAGAGAAACUGCGUCCUUCCUGUGAAGCUCUGCCCGUGUCAGAUGAGUGUGAACAUAAAGAUGUCCCCUGCUCUGGCCACAGUGUAGCUGAAGUACAAUCCAUGAUGCCAGAGAUGAGUGUGGACAUGUCAGAGGCCCGGUUGCCUGGGCCCUCAGCCAGCUCUGGCUUGAAUACAAUGGAUCUUGAUCAACUGAAGAGGAAAAAAAUAAAAAUGCAACUGAAGGUUUUAAAAUUACAAGAAGAGUAUUACACUUUGAAAAUAAAAGAACUGAAAAAAUGAGGAUUAAUGUAAAGCUGACAUUGCAGACAAUAAAUUAAAAGAUCGCUGUUUACAUCCACAAACUGACACACGUUAUCUGGAGGUUUCUUGGGUGGAAUGUUACUUUUGACAAAAGCUACAAAAUCAAGUGUGCUGCAUUUAUACACCGUACUUUGUCGUUGCUGUACUCAGGUUUCCUUUAGUAUUGUUGAUUACCAUGUUUUACUUUGUUAUUAGAAUUAAACAAAUAGCUGAUAUUUCCUUCCUGUAAAAUGUGAAUAAACAAUAUUGAUGCUUUUUAUCUGUAAAUUUUGCAAGUGUUAUGAAACUGUGUUUCCUUUGGACUUUGCCCAACCUGUAGUAAUAGUUGUAAGAAGUAGCCUUUAAACAGCAUCGUGCAAUGUCUUGAGCCACAGCUCAUUUCUUUAUGUUUUGCUUCCAAGGAGCAAGAACUUUUAGAAAUUUGCAAGAAAAUAACAAUAUGUGCUCUUUUACUUUGAAGCAUUGUUAGUAAUACAUCAAUCAUAUCUGUGACAGAUGAGCAUAACUGUUUAAAUUCCAAAGAAAUUAGACCCCCCCAAAAAAUUCAUGUAAAUUUGUCCAACCAUAAUGAGAAAAUAUGAAAUGAAUAAAGGAGAGUUACAGUGAUGUGCAAAAGUCUUGAGCCAGGACACGUCAUGCAGAGAUAUGUUAAGUGUCCAGCUAAUAGAUCUUUGGGCAUCAGUUGGUUCCACA